GGGUUGUGAGGUUAAGCGACUAAGCGUACACGGUGGAUGCCCUGGCAGUCAGAGGCGAUGAAGGACGUGCUAAUCUGCGAUAAGCGUCGGUAAGGUGAUAUGAACCGUUAUAACCGGCGAUUUCCGAAUGGGGAAACCCAGUGUGUUUCGACACACUAUCAUUAACUGAAUCCAUAGGUUAAUGAGGCGAACCGGGGGAACUGAAACAUCUAAGUACCCCGAGGAAAAGAAAUCAACCGAGAUUCCCCCAGUAGCGGCGAGCGAACGGGGAGCAGCCCAGAGCCUGAAUCAGUGUGUGUGUUAGUGGAAGCGUCUGGAAAGGCGCGCGAUACAGGGUGACAGCCCCGUACACAAAAAUGCACAUGCUGUGAGCUCGAUGAGUAGGGCGGGACACGUGGUAUCCUGUCUGAAUAUGGGGGGACCAUCCUCCAAGGCUAAAUACUCCUGACUGACCGAUAGUGAACCAGUACCGUGAGGGAAAGGCGAAAAGAACCCCGGCGAGGGGAGUGAAAAAGAACCUGAAACCGUGUACGUACAAGCAGUGGGAGCCUCUUUUAUGGGGUGACUGCGUACCUUUUGUAUAAUGGGUCAGCGACUUAUAUUCUGUAGC
rnacentral:rRNA from 1 species